ACGUACACUCCUACGGGAGGCAGCAGUGGGGAAUAUUGCACAAUGGGCGCAAGCCUGAUGCAGCCAUGCCGCGUGUAUGAAGAAGGCCUUCGGGUUGUAAAGUACUUUCAGCGGGGAGGAAGGCGAUAAGGUUAAUAACCUUGUUGAUUGACGUUACCCGCAGAAGAAGCACCGGCUAACUCCGUGCCAGCAGCCGCGGUAAUACGGAGGGUGCAAGCGUUAAUCGGAAUUACUGGGCGUAAAGCGCACGCAGGCGGUCUGUCAAGUCGGAUGUGAAAUCCCCGGGCUCAACCUGGGAACUGCAUUCGAAACUGGCAGGCUAGAGUCUUGUAGAGGGGGGUAGAAUUCCAGGUGUAGCGGUGAAAUGCGUAGAGAUCUGGAGGAAUACCGGUGGCGAAGGCGGCCCCCUGGACAAAGACUGACGCUCAGGUGCGAAAGCGUGGGGAGCAAACAGGAUUAGAAACCCCUGUAGUCCCA
rnacentral:rRNA from 1 species